ACUUUAAAUAAGGAUUAUCUGAAUGAUAAUUAUCUCUUAUGAAUUCAUAGGUUUCGUUUUAAGCUUAUUAUUCUAAUGGAACAUAUUUUUAGAGAUUAUAUCCCAUGAAUGUUAAUUAAAAGAGUAAAUAUCUUUUAAACUUAAAAAGAAAUUAAACAAUUGUUCAAAUUUUUGCGUUUAGAAGCUUUUAACGUGUUUCCUAAUUUAAUAAUUAAAACAAUAAUAUCACAUAUUGAUUGUUAGAGAAGCUGCAUGAAAAGGUGACUAGACUAUUUUGGAUUGGAAUACUUAUUCAAUUAAAGUGUAGAAAUUGAUUGUUUAAACGUGUUUAAAUAGUUUACUGUCAAGCAUGACAAACCAGAAAGCAGUAAUUUCCGAUUUGUAAUCAUCAUGUGAUGCUGACGUCAUCAUCAAUUUUUCCUGAAUACAAAACAGAGAUAAGGAAGUGCCCUCUGGUAUCGAUUGAUAAAAGCAGCAAUAUUAAUGCUAUAAAUUUAUAUACUUAUGAACCUAUAAAGGAUUAAUAUGAAAAGCUAAUACUAAUCCUUCUGUGGAAAACACAGUAUUUUAUGUAAAAUGCAUAGAAGCAAUUGUAAUUAUUAUUAUUUUUUUAAAAUAAAAUCUUGGUUAUACAGUAAAACUGUUUCAGAACAUGGCUUGAGAAAGUGCUGAUAUAAAAAUAUUCAAAUGAUUUUUAAUAGUUCUGCUUUAAAUGAAAUAUGGAUAAUCCAGCCAUUUCUCAAUCCUCAUUGAAAUGCUUCGACUGUAAAAUUCGUAGCUAUUGGUCAUAUAAACUCCGACUAGGCGCCAUCAUAUGCUUCUGUAUAUAGCAGUAAAUCGAAUGUGGAGUUAAAUAGAAAUACUUCAAACAAUAAAAAUUGUAUAAUUGAAGUAGUCCACAAACAAGUUUUGAGAGAAGUCAUGCCAUUAAGUAAUAACGAUGUCGUUUGUAAUGCAAAAUCGUACACCUAAUAAUUCAUAGAUACAGAAGGGAGAAACUCUUUCACAGAUCAUAAUAAUGCUUGAGGCUCCGUGAAAGAUGAAAGCAGAAGACAUACAGAAAGAUAACUGAGUAUUGUUUUAUUCAAAACAUUUGGAAUAAAACUUUGUAUAUUUUGAAGAAAUUAAAAUAAAUUUCCAUUUUAAAAGUUCUGAUUACUCUACAUCCGUGUACAACAACAUUUUAAAUAUUUUGUUUAAAUUUUUUUCGAAUUUAUAUUAUAUCUAAUAACAUAAUAACAAUAAUGAACGAUCCAUUCUGAUGAUCAAAAAGAAGUGAGGUAUCUAGCGCGUGACAUCGUAUCACGUGAUUUAAGAAAGAUUUGAAAAUUACCUGUCACUCAGAUAAUACGACAUUUCAAAGCCUAAAAAUGAUUCCGUGUUUUUGAAGAAUAUAAGUUAACUAAUAACGUAAUUUGCGCAAUUUAUAGGGUCAUUAAAUAGAUUUUAAAUGCAUCCAUAAAAACAUUUAUUUCGAAAUUUUUAAUUAUAAUUUUACGGAAAGGGAAAACAAUGAUAAAUAUAACAGUAAAAAGUUAUAUUACAGCUAAUUAAAAUAUUAAUUCCAGAAGUCUCUGAAAUUUAUCUUAGAAUCUGUUAAGAUUUGGGAUAAAAGCGCAUUUCUUCGAUUUAAACAGACAAAUAUUUUAUCAUUGUCUAUUAAUAUUCGAAUUAUUCAAUUUAUUUUAAAAAAAACCUGAAAAAUUAAAGUGUUUUUUUGAAAUUUUUCUAAGCUUUAGGUUGUUAUUUGUCCUUUUAUAUUACACUGUUUUAUAUCUUAAAAGUUACGACAGAAUAUUCUAAAUUUUAAGAGCAUUUUUUUUAUCGUUUUAAUUGUUCUCUGUUUAGUUUUGUGUCUAAAAGUGGAUAAUUUUUUAUUUAGUUUAAUUAUGAGUUGAUUAAAUUAGAAUUUUAGAAUAAAAACUUCGAUUUUUUAUGUUAUUUACCCGUAUCAUUUUCUAUGUAUUGCAACGUUAUUAUUAUUAUCUAUAUGUUUAUACAUGGGCGUAUGCAUAAAAUUUUCCAGGAGGGCGAAGAUUGGAGACAAAUAAUUACAUCAAUAAAUUUUUGGGGGCUUGUUUCACGAGUAGAUUAUAGAAUACAGUAUUGCCAUGGUCGGGGUUUAAGGGUUACCUCUCAAUUGCUUUUACGAUUAUAAUUUAUGGAAUAUUUUACUCGAGUGCUUCUACAGACCCCCAUGUAUUUAUAUAUAAUCUUUCAUGCCCAUAUUUACAACCAAUAAUUAAAAGUUUGAGUUAGAAGUUAACCAAUUAAUAUUCAUAUACUAAAGUGAAUGGUAAUUGGUUUUUUCUUUCUUUUUUUUUUUUUGUAAAAGUUGGCGGUUAAUGAG
rnacentral:lncRNA from 1 species